GGAACCUUCAUAUGUCGUUGUUACUUUACAUAUUACUAGGAAUUCCUUGUUCAUACCAUAUUUACAUAAUAGUAAUCCCAACUCCUUAGAAAAUUAUAAACUUUCUAUUGUAGUGCGCGUGUUGCCCAUUUCAUUUAAGGGCAUCUCUGACCUGUUAUCGCCCACUCCUUCCUAUGGCUUACACCAUCCGUCUACUAACCUUUAUAUAAAUCAGUACGUGGGUCUCACACAUUGGUGGAUUUAACAUAAUAAAUAUCAAAAUUCACAUCACGCAUUGUUAACGGCCAUGCACCACUCAUAGUAAAUGAGUCUAUCCAUAAAUGAAUCACACAUAG
rnacentral:rRNA from 1 species